GCCAUCGUGGCUCAGUCGGUAGAGCGACAGCCUGUUAUCUUUCGAUCGGCUGGUCGAGAGCCAGACAGUUGUUGGUCGGAGGUUCGAGCCCUCCCGAUGGCGCCA
rnacentral:tRNA from 1 species